AAAAAGUAGAGACUCAAUGUUAAAAUCAAACAAAACAUAGGUCAAAAGGUAAAGGCAAGCUAUUGCUAAGGAUUCAAGAAACAUGGAAAGAAAUCAUACGUCAACAUCAAUCUUGCUCCUGGUAAUGGUGAGAUGCACCCUUCCAAGUUUACAGACACAAGACCAAGAGAUAAUUCAAAUAAAAGCUAGUAAACCAAAUGGGUUUAUAAUUGCAAAAUAUAAAAGCAGCCUCUCCUGAAGAUAUCACCUUACACCUUAAUAGCAUACUUUCUCAUGGGGAAGUACAUUUCUCUCUUCUUCUCACGUUCCGUCUUCAAAGAUUGCUGGUGCUUAGUAAGCCUCCU
rnacentral:misc_RNA from 1 species